rnacentral:rRNA from 1 species
UUCGGGAACUGUGAGACAGGUCCUGCAUGGUUGUCGUCAGCUCGUGUGUGAAAUGUUGGGUUAAGUCCCGCAACGAGCGCAACCCUUAUCCUUUGUUGCCAGCGGUCCGGCCGGGAACUCAAAGGAGACUGCCAGUGAUAAACUGGAGGAAGGUGGGGAUGACGUCAAGUCAUCAUGGCCCUUACGACCAGGGCUACACACGUGCUACAAUGGCAUAUACAAAGAGAAGCGACCUCGCGAGAGCAAGCGGACCUCAUAAAGUAUGUCGUAGUCCGGAUUGGAGUCUGCAACUCGACUCCAUGAAGUCGGAAUCGCUAGUAAUCGUAGAUCAGAAUGCUACGGUGAAUACGUUCCCGGGUCUUGUACAC